AAUUUUUUUUUUCUUUUUUGACUAACCUGACUUGCCCCGACCCCUCCCCCUCUCUUUGGCUCUCUGCCUGCCUGGCCGGCGAGCACUGUCGAUCGAUGGGGCUCCGGCCUCUGCCGCCCAAGUGCGCCUCUUCAGUCUCUGCAAUAGCUUCUACUUGGGGGUGUACCAGGAUGCCAUCAACAAGAGCGAAAUCCCCAAUCUCUCCCCCGACGACGCCGUCGAGCGCGACUCCCUCGUCUAUCGCUCCUACAUCACCCUGGACUCCUACCAGCUCGUGAUCAGUGAGAUUAAUUCCUCAGCCUCCACUACCCUCUAGACUGUCAAGUUGCUCACCCUCUACCUCACCAGAGAUAAGGUUGGUCCUCCGGUAAGCUGAAUACUAUCAUUCCUCCACGCAACUCAUUUGGCACCAAACAAAAGUUCAUCCAGAAGUAAAGAGAUUUCAAACUUCCACUUGUCCUAAAUAUGAAGAGCUCAUAACAAUAUUUGGGGACACUACUGCUACUGGUAAAGAGGCGAUGACAAGCACCCAAGAUGUGUCAGAUAGCAGUGAUUCUCAAGACAACAAGCUUCUUUCUGAUGAUGUUAGUAUAGAUGGAGAGUCUAAUAGUUCAAGAAAUCAUCAUCAUCCAAGAGAUCCAAUUCCCAAUGAGAGUAUCCACCAUGUGAGAGGUCAAUCAAGAGUUUCAGAAUUAGCAGAUGCUAUCAGAUCCUUAGUAGAGACUAACCAGACAAGGAACAAUAUGAUGAUGCAACAACAUACAGCUGCAACUUCGAGUUAUAGGCAGUACUUAAUUGCAAAUUGCAUUAAAGUUCUUGAAAGUGUUGAAAGAGUGAGUAUGCCUACAUAUUUGAAGGCAAUUGAGAAGUUCCAAGACAAGAGAUGGAGAGAAACAUUUAUUGAAAUGUCAAAUGAGCGUAGGUUGGGGUGGUUGGCAAGUUUGUAGGAUGUUCAUGUGGCUUUUAGUUGUUUAGAUGGACUUUACGUAUUAGAAUAUUAUAUCAAGAAUUAUGUGUAUGCAUAUUAUGCUUUGUUUGGAUUGAUGAUCUAUUGUCUUUUAAACUUUAUGCUAUAAAUUUAUGAUGUUACGAAGAUUAUGUAUUA